AUCCAGCUGACGAGUCCCAAAUAGGAGGAACCACGCGUCAAACUGGAU
rnacentral:hammerhead_ribozyme from 1 species